rnacentral:lncRNA from 1 species
UUGAAUAAACAUAUUUUUCUUCUUUCUUUCUUGAAUAACACUUAAAAGCAGAGAGCCAUGAAUAGUUCCUUUGGGCUUUGUAUGUAUAAAUUAUUUACUUAAUAGAUCAUGAACAUAUUUCUUUUUGUUUUGUUUUGUUUGUGAGACAGAGUCUCGCUCUGUUGCCAGGCUGGAGUGCAGUGGCACGAGCUACCAUGCCCAGCCCAUAUUUCUUUAAUAUUCGGAAUUGUGGAAUAAUUGAAGUUUUAGGUUAUGGAUUGGAGAGUAAAUAAAUAAAUUCAAAGGACCUACAUACACAUGACAUACCAAGAAGCAGAGAAGUCUAAAAUAUUUUAUGAGGGUAGCUAGAGGAACAUAUAUUUGAAUUGGACAACAAUAACGAAAUGAUGUACUAAAAUUCCAGGCCCAGAUGCAUUUUUU